UACAGAGGGUGCAAACGUUGCUCGGAAUCAUUGGGCGUAAAGCGCACGUAGGCGGUCUAGCAAGUCAGGAGUGAAAGCCCUCGGCUUAACCGGGGAAGUGCUUUUGAAACUGCAAGACUUGAAUACUGGAGAGGAUCGCGGAAUUCCCGGUGUAGAGGUGAAAUUCGUAGAUAUCGGGAGGAACACCAGUGGCGAAGGCGGCGAUCUGGACGGUAACUGACGCUGAGACGCGAAAGCGUGGGGAGCAAACAGG
rnacentral:rRNA from 1 species